rnacentral:sRNA from 14 species
GUCAGAAAGCCUACUCCUGAAGGCGUGGGCUUGAAAAGCCCUAAUCUGACCAGACUAAGUACCUUGUUGGGUACUACGUUAGAGGUAAGAGUUCAAGACCUACCAAGGGAUGUGAAGCUAGUCCUUUGCUCUAGA